rnacentral:pre_miRNA from 1 species
AAUAGAUGACGCUGUUGACUUUUUUUUACAUGUUUGACCAUUCGUCUUAUUCAAAAAAUUUAUGUAAUUAUAAUUUAUUUUGUUAUGAGUUGUUUUAUCACUCAUAGUACUUUAAGUGUGAUUUAUAUCUUAUACAUUUGCAUAAAAUUUUUGAAUAAGACGAAUAGUCAAACAUGUGAGAAAAAGUCGACGGCGUCAUCUAUU